GAUGAACGCUGGCGGCGUGCUUAACACAUGCAAGUCGAACGGGAAACCUUUUAAUGAAGCUUCGGCAGAUUUAGCUGGUUUCUAGUGGCGGACGGGUGAGUAACGCGUGGGUAACCUGCCUUAUACAGGGGGAUAACAGUCAGAAAUGACUGCUAAUACCGCAUAAGCGCACAGGAUCGCAUGGUCCGGUGUGAAAAACUCCGGUGGUAUAAGAUGGACCCGCGUUGGAUUAGCUUGUUGGUGGGGUAACGGCUCACCAAGGCGACGAUCCAUAGCCGGCGUGAGAAGGUGAACGGCCACAUUGGGACUGAGACACGGCCCAGACUACUACGGGAGGCAGCAGUGGGGAAUAUUGCACAAUGGGGGAAACCCUGAUGCAGCGACGCCGCGUGAAGGAAGAAGUAUCUCGGUAUGUAAACUUCUAUCAGCAGGGAAGAUAGUGACGGUACCUGACUAAGAAGCCCCGGCUAACUACGUG
rnacentral:rRNA from 1 species